AGAUCAUAUGAGCUUACUCUCAACUCAGCAGUGGUUUCUUGAAAAGGUAGUCAUUGUAGGAAUAUUCAGUACCAAUCUUCUGUAGAAACAACAUUAUUAUGUGGAGACCUGAACCAGGAGUAUCUUAUUUUUUUCUAUACGGAAACCCUUGAGAAUGAAGACACCGGAGGAAUAUAUCAAACCUUGCUGUGCCAAGGCCCCGUGGAACUCACAAGGGGGAAGAAAAGGAACAAAAGGCAUCUAUCCUUAUUUAAUGAUGUUUUGGUUGUGUCUAAUAACCUGAAUAAGAAAAGGUUUAAGAUAAACUGCAUCAUCCCACUGAAUUACCUGUGCACAGUGGAUGAUGUGGACUUAGACAACAUGAAUGAAAUGUGUACUUGCAAGACCAUUUACCUGUUUUGGCCCACUGGAAAUUUUUUGGCCACCUUUUGUUCAAAAGAACAGAAAGAUAAAUGGUUCUAUUUUCUCAAAAGAUCCAUUGAUGAAGCCAAGAGGAUAUCAAGAAAAAUUUCUCAUUGGAGAUAUUCACGGAAGACAUCCCAAGCUGUGACAGUCCUUUAUGUGUAACAGAAACAAACAUCAAUGCAGUGAAUGAUAUCAUUGAGAAGUUACUACCAAUGAUGCAAAUGCCUAACAGUGAAGCUUACCAAAUGUGGUUCUGUCCUGGCCAUGAGGAAGCUUCAAGAGCACUCCAAGGCUAUGAGUAUUUACAUGAUAUUAUAAUUACCAACCUUCAAAAUACCUUCAGUAGAUCAAACUCAAGAUUUUUCACUUGCCUGGGUUGUUUGUGAAAGACCUAAACUCGGAUGCACAGGGGCAAUUCAUCUUAAAGCCUGCAGACUCAGCUACAAGCCAGCAGCAAAAUGUGGAGGAAAGAUUUCAUAAGAAACAAGGGACUGUAUUGACAUCUUGCUUCCACAGGGGCUCUGUGCCCCACCAGGACCAAGAAUGCCCUGCCCCAACAUUUAAUACAGGAAAACUCUUUGGCAAAGAUCUGGGUUCGAUUUGUCAUGAGGGAAAAUGGCCCACAAUAAUUGUGGACAUUCUAUCCCUCAUAGAAGAAAAAGGACCCAAGACUGAGGGCAUAUUCAUGAUAUCUCCAAAUGUGAAAUCAUGCAAAAUCCUAAAGGACAAAUUUGAAUCUGGGGAAGAGGUGGAUAUAAAAAAGUACUCAGUACAUGAAAUCGCCUGGAUCUUAAAGGUUUACAGUUUUGAUAGACAAAACAUGCUGGGCCUACAUAUCAGUCAACAUUCUACCUUUGGAAAAGUUUGGGAACUGUGAAGAAAGUUGGAACUAAACUUUAAAGCUGACUAUAUUUUAAGUAAUUUCCAUAAUUUAUUUUCUCUGCAAAAUAUUUUUUCUCUCUCUAUAAAGAGUUUCUUUGAACUCUCAAAGGAAGUCUGCUGACUUCUCAAUUAUAUGACCAGUGGAUUGCUGUACCUGAAAAGGUCAAUGAUAUGUAGAAAUUAGCAGCAGUGCAGAGUCUUACAGAAAAACUCCCAGGAUCCAAUGCUGCUCUUCUCCAACAACUUUUUCAAAUAUUACACAAAAUUGCAACAAAUUCUUCCAUUAACCAAAUGCCAUCGUACAUGGAUAGCACCAUGUAUCUUAUGUCUUCCUAGCUAUCAUAAUGAAGUACUGGCAAAUGAUAUUACCAAAAAAGCUAACAUUUUCUCAGAAUUCAGAACUACAUAUUUUUAGCCUCCAAACCACAUAAGUAAAAUGUGAUUGGCAACCAUGCAAAAUGACAGAGACCCUCUGUGUUUACUCCAUUUUGUUCCAGAUUUCUCUGGUAACUUUCAUGAUUGAAAACUCUCCCAAAAUUUUCGGAAUAGACAUGGUUUCAGUUUCGUAUGAAACGUCACUUUUUCAUCCACAAGGAGCAAAGGCCUCAUGUUCCCAAAAUACUCCACCUAACAUCGGGAACAUCCAGGAAACAGAAUAUGGACUCAGCAGCUGUUCCAAUGGGAGGACACGCAUGCCUGGUCAUGAUGCACUGGCGAUAAGUCCAGCUGCUUCUCUUUCCUAUGAGGGCAUUAUAGAGAAACAAGAAGGCAAUGAGUAUACAAACCAACAAACAUCUUCUCAAACUCCUCCAGAAUCAAUAAAAAAAAAAAAACCAAAUAUUUUGUACAAUUCCAGCCAUUGUUUGCUCGGACAAGAUGCUACUUCAUAUACUUGUUCAUAUCUGCUCAUAGUAACUGCUAUUUUCCUCAUCAUUCUUAAUGAUUUCAAUUUCGUAAACUGUGUGAAAUGACAGAGAAUCUUGUUUUUGCAUUGUGGUGUUACAGAUGUCUAUUAUACAAAUCGUGAUUGACAACUGUGGAGAUAUAUUUGGUGACAAUGACCAUAUAAUUUGUAAUGAUAAUCAGAAGAGGUCAGAUGACAUAAAGACUCUACUAAAUUCUGCUGCAGGAGAUAGUGAAACUUCAACAUAUAAAUUUCCACAACAGAAACUUCCUCAUGACUAAAGAAGGUGUCUGUCAUUUUAUUUCAAUGUUCCCUUCUACCUCCCACUUAGCCAGAGCAGAAGUGAUUACUAAAAGAAACAACUUCAGUUUUAUAUUUAACCAUACUAUUUGUUACAAAUAGUUUCAGUCACUAUAUUUACUUUAUGUUGUGUAUUAAACAUCCUUAUCUAUUAUAAUAAAUAUUCUUAAAUUAU
ensembl:lincRNA Gm6639 predicted gene 6639